rnacentral:lncRNA from 1 species
CCAUAAGUGCUCGUUUAUUAUCAUCAUCAUCAUCAUCUGAGCUUUCAUCUCAAGCAGCGAGCCAGUGACCACAGCCUUGGUUGAUCCUUUGUUGUUGCUUUUCUUGGGUUGAACAUGUUCCUUCUUCCUAUUCCUUCAUUCAAAUCUUUCCUUCUUCCAUUUAAUUUCCCGCAAAAGGAUAAUUUUUGAUCAUGUGAUCAGUAUUUCCAUACUUGUAGCAACCAUCAUUAGUUUGAUCUCUGGAUCUCUUGCCUUGCUAUAGCUUUCACUUCUUGAAGAAGUAUUUCCUCUCUAUAGGUAGUUCAUGAAGUCUUUGGUGAUCAUUGCCAUUUCAUCACAUUCUAUAUCAGAACCUUCAGUGAUUCUGCGUCCCAAACUCCUUUCCUUCUUAGAUACAUCCAUUUUUAUAGUUUGUCUCCUAAGUUCAUAGGCAGUGAGAUUCCAAAUCAAUUUAUCUAGUGAGAGAGUGGCAAUAUUCUUUUGUUCCCGGAUAGCAGUGAUCAUGCUUUCCCGAAUGAUUGACAAGACCCUAGUGAGUAUCUUCUCAACUCUUUCUUCUUCAAGGAUAAUCCUUCCAAGAGAUUUUAGUUCAUUUUCAACGCAGUGAACCUUGUGUACAUCUUAUAAAUGGUUUCUCCAUCCUUCAUAGAAAAGUUCUCAUACUGAGAGUACAAUAGAGUUCCUCUAUAUCUCUUUACCUAAGUUACUCCUUCAUGGGCCGCUAGCAGUGUUUCCCAAAUUUGCUUAUCAGUGGAACAAUCUUCGAUUCUGUUGUACUCAUAGACAAAGUCCACAAAGAAGUCAUUUUUUGACUUUGGCGUUCUUUUCCUAUUUCUUCAGAUCCUCAACAUUGCAAUCAGCUCUUAUCUUUGGCGUAUAUACUCCUUUAACAUUUUUCUUCAAAGUAGCCAUUGGUCCAUUAGUGACAAUGUCCCAAAGCUCAUAGUCUUCUCCUUGUAUGUGAUCUCAUUUUACUCUUCCACCAAGAGUAAUACUAGCCAUUAAGGAGUGGUAGCCUAGCGAAGAAAAGAAUAAAUGAGUAAUGCCUUAAACAGUAGCUAGAAGAUAAAAGUAAACUUUUAUUGCUUUUAGUUGCAUGUUACCAUGUGUUAGAAUAAAGAAAAUCUUCUCCUUUAUAUAGUAGGAGAAUUUCAGUCCUAGUACAAGUCUAAAAAAAAAUAAAAAUCUUCUU